rnacentral:tRNA from 1 species
GGAGGGAUGUGCCGAAUUGGUAAGGCAGCGCCCUGCUAAGGCGUAGCCUCUAACAGGGGCUUGCGGGUUCGAGUCCCGCUCCCUCCG